CCUACGGGAGGCAGCAGUGGGGAAUAUUGCACAAUGGGGGAAACCCUGAUGCAGCGACGCCGCGUGAGUGAAGAAGUAUUUCGGUAUGUAAAGCUCUAUCAGCAGGGAAGAAGAAAGACGGUACCUGACUAAGAAGCCCCGGCUAACUACGUGCCAGCAGCCGCGGUAAUACGUAGGGGGCAAGCGUUAUCCGGAUUUACUGGGUGUAAAGGGAGCGUAGACGGCUGUGCAAGUCUGAAGUGAAAGCCCAGGGCUCAACCCUGGGACUGCUUUGGAAACUGUUGAACUUGAGUGCAGAAGAGGAGAGUGGAACUCCAUGUGUAGCGGUGAAAUGCGUAGAUAUUAGGAGGAACACCAGUGGCGAAGGCGGCUUACUGGACUGUAACUGACGUUGAGGCUCGAAAGCGUGGGGAGCAAACAGGAUUAGAUACCCUGGUAGUC
rnacentral:rRNA from 1 species